rnacentral:tRNA from 1 species
GUCACGCGACUAGCUGGUGGUUGGGAGCAGCCUGCAAAGCUGCUGGCAGCCGGGUUCGAUUCCCGGGCGUGACUCCA